UAGAGAGUAGAAGUUACUUCGGUACAUCGGUGACAGGUGGUGCAUGGUUGUCGUCAGCUCGUGUCGUGAGAUGUUGGGUUAAGUCCCGCAACGAGCGCAACCCUUGUCACUAGUUGCCAUCAUUUAGUUGGGCACUCUAGUGAGACUGCCGGUGACAAACCGGAGAAGGUGGGAUGACGUCAAGUCCUCAUGGCCCUUAUGGUAGGGCUUCACACGUCAUACAAUGGUCGGUACAGAGGGUUGCCAAGCCGCGAGGUGGAGCCAAUCCCUUAAAGCCGAUCGUAGUCCGGAUCGUAGUCUGCAACUCGACUACGUGAAGUCGGAAUCGCUAGUAAUCGCAGAUCAGCAUGCUGCGGUGAAUACGUUCCCGGGUCUU
rnacentral:rRNA from 1 species